rnacentral:rRNA from 1 species
ACGGGAGGCAGCAGUGAGGAAUAUUGGUCAAUGGACGGAAGUCUGAACCAGCCAAGUCGCGUGAAGGAUGAAGGUAUUAUGUAUUGUAAACUUCUUUAGCAGUGGAGUAAUAAGGGGAUCGCGAUCCCUGAUGCAAGUACACUGAGAAUAAGGAUCGGCUAACUCCGUGCCAGCAGCCGCGGUAAUACGGAGGAUCCGAGCGUUAUCCGGAUUUAUUGGGUUUAAAGGGAGCGUAGGCGGCCUUUUAAGUCAGUGGUCAAAUGUCAGUGCCCAACACUGGCCUGCCAUUGAUACUGGAGGGCUUGAAUACACACAAGGAAGGUGGAAUUCGUCGUGUAGCGGUGAAAUGCUUAGAUAUGACGAAGAACUCCGAUUGCGAAGGCAGCCUUCUGGAGUGCGAUUGACGCUGAGGCUCGAAAGCGCGGGUAUCAAACAGGAUUAGAUACCCUGGUA